UGGGGAAUAUUGCACAAUGGGCGCAAGCCUGAUGCAGCCAUGCCGCGUGUGUGAAGAAGGCCUUCGGGUUGUAAAGCACUUUCAGCGAGGAGGAAGGGUUCAGUGUUAAUAGCACUGCUCAUUGACGUUACUCGCAGAAGAAGCACCGGCUAACUCCGUGCCAGCAGCCGCGGUAAUACGGAGGGUGCAAGCGUUAAUCGGAAUUACUGGGCGUAAAGCGCACGCAGGCGGUUUGUUAAGUCAGAUGUGAAAUCCCCGCGCUUAACGUGGGAACUGCAUUGA
rnacentral:rRNA from 1 species